CUGCGGCUGGGAGAGGGCGCCGCGUUCCGCUGCCCGCCCGCUCUCACGGGGAUCGGUGUUGCCGGCUGGUAAACGCGCAACGGUGGUUGCGAAUGUGCUAAAGCCUAUUCAGCGUGAUGGGAUCCCUCCUUCCCUCAGCCAUUCCCACUUCGAGGCGGCUUUCCCUGUCUCCUUCUGCAGUCGUGGAGGGUUCAGCCGCGUGCCUUUGCACGAGAUGGGAGAGGCGUGCAGUCCGAACUCCCGGAGGACUCUCGUACCAACAGGAAACAAAAAAUAUUGUUUGACUGGGCUGAAUAACUGACAGUAGUGUGAAUUGUGAAGGGACGACAUCAACACAGAUUGAAUAUUCAGGCUGGAUGCUGACAUUUCUUAAAGUAUGCAUAAUAGUUGUGAAGAACAAGCACGUCUCCAGAGGCUUGCUGGGAUGAAUCCAUAAGAACUGUUACACUAUAACCAGAGAGUUUAAUCAGAGGACCAGGGGAGCUGCCAACAGUGUGUUUCCUGUUGGUUUUCACCAAAAAAAUGGGUAUCUUCAUUCAUGUGAUGUGCAGAUGUGCAGUAGGAAAGCACCGAGAUGUGAGUUGCACAGAGACCUGCUAUUUUAGGCAAAGAAUGGAUAAACAAACCUUGUAUUGUCUCUUCAAAAGAUAAAUCCACCGAAGCAGUCCAAGAUCCUUAGGAAAACUAUGUGAAUAUGAAGUAUACUCAGCCUUACAUUCUUCAGUUUAUAAAAGCUUUGGAAGAUAAAAAUACUUCAAAUUAACUUAAAUCCCGGAAAACUUCAAAAUAAAAGGAAGCACAAUGAGAACAUACACAAAUAAUUACUGCACUAUGUCAAUGUACAAAAUCUGUAUUGAACCCAUUCUUUGGCUUUUUCAACAAAUCAUAGUGUUAAUCAGCAAAAUGCUUCGUUUGUACCUUUAAAGAGAAAAAGAACUGCCUGGAGUAUCUCAGGAAAGAAACCAUCACUUCCUGCUAUCUGGAGAAAUGCUGAGAAUAAUAACUAUGAAAAACAUGCAAUUAGUAAGAAUUUACAUAUCUUUUCUGAUGUAUAGAUUUUUUUCUGCCUGGGCACAUAACAGUUUCUCACCAAACACCAGCUUCCUAACGUUUGCAAUACCAAGGGCAUUGAGUGUUGGGCUUCCUGCAGUCCGUAUGUUAGCUUAUGCUGGCAUAGGAUGAGUGCUUAAGGCUGGACUGAAGAGCCAAUGUUUGCUUCAAGCCUCAGAGUCAACACAGAGCAUAUUUUCUUUCUACAUCUUGAGGUCAAAGUGCUGUGUGAUGUGGAAGGGCAUAGAGCAGUGCUUGAUGUGUUGGACCUAAACACAUACAUCAAGCAGACAUCUUACUGUGGUGAAUAAAUCAGUUUGGUUCAGAAUCCUGUUGAAAUAAAGUCUCUUCUGUCAAUUUGAGGCUUGAAGUGGACAUCAAAUUUUCACCAGCUCUAGGCUAGCCUUCUCUACAGGAAAGUGAAGAACCCAGAAUGCAGGGUGAUGUCUUCACAGUUUCCCUUCCUUGGCCACAUUGAUUUUUAGAGAAUUCUAACUGGAUGUACAAAUUUCUUCUGGAUGACACCAGAAAGGAGAAAAUAUGUGGAGUUCUAUAAAAAUAUGUGUUCUUUAUCAUAGAAAAGUCAGAGAACAUAACACAAUUCAGCUGGUCCCAAGAUUUAAAUCCAUUAAUAGAAAAAGACUGUGAAGCUAUCAUGAAAGACAGGUGGAGAGAAAACAUGUAACAGUACCAUAAGCAAGCAGAAUCAGAGCAGAUAUACAUGAAGUGGAGGAGUUAGGUGAUGCCACAGGGGAAUUAAUUACCAGGUGCUGUAUGUUUUGAAGGAAAAAAAAAUGAGAACAUCUUUUCAAAAGGGGAAUCACAGAAGUGUAUUGAGGCUGUGGUGGCACCAGCUCUCUAACUGCCUCCAACUCCAUUGAUCUGUUUCCCCGUGGUAUCCUGGCUCCCAGGAGCUCUGUACCUCCUGCUCCAUCACACCCUCAGCAAUGGUGAAGCCCCAUCUGCCUUGGCUCAUCUCCCAGGCUCUUCAUCCACAUGAUAAAUUACUGAUAAGUUACUGGGAAGAUGUCCUGCCUCUCCUUGUGUCUGUCGAAGAAGGUGUCGGAAGGCCUUGCUCGAGGUGUUUGUCUUGCACUGCUGCUGUGGUUGCAGGCUGAAUCCACCAUUCCUCCCUCACAGCACCACCAUUGCAAGUUCCAGUGUCAGCAAGGAGCAGAAGCAGAAAUAAUACACUGGUGUCUGUCACAGAUAGCAGGAGUGAAAAAAGUUAGCUGGCUUCUACCUGCAAGAACAUUGGAGCCUGGUGUGGAACAGACCUGCAUGAGGCAGAUCCAAGCAGAACAUGCUGCUUCCCAGCAGUCCCACAGCUGGGGAUGUCUGGUGUGAGGACUUUGCCCCACGAAGUUCCAAAAUGUGUAAUGGUACUGGGCCAGUUCCCACCUGGCCUAAACCAACAUGUGUGAGUGUGCCAGGGGUGUGAAGGACCUCAGCACAGCUUCUUACAGCCAUCAAGCCUGCACCUGUUGCUCCAAGUGAGUUGCUAAAGUAGACACAGCCCAUCCUGGUUUGUUACCUGCCUGCAGACAGAAUUAAAAUGGCAAGUCUGCAAUACGCCAUCAUUUUCCAGGAAAAUAUAUUCCAUAGUACUCUGAAGGUGCAAAUACUGUAUUGAAACAAGAUAUAUUUUAUUGGCUUUGAUGGAUAGAUUCGGAAAAAGAGGAUUACCAAACUGAGACUAAUAACUGCAUUCAAUGUAUUUACAUUUACACACUUUACAUUUUAAAUAAGAACUCCAUCUGCAGGGGGAAAUGCAGUCCUGGAACAUGCCUUGUUUUAUUGCAUAGUGCCACCUAGGGGUUGGACGCUUCUAAGGUUCAGAGGGGCAAGGGAUACGAAGUCCUAUUAGUAGCAGGAUAGGUGUUAACCCAAUCACCUGUAAUUUGGAACUUAGCAAGACAAAUAAAAUGCUGCCAAGAUUUCUAUACUGUUGUAUAUGGCCAAAGAACUGUAGUUUUUACAGUUCCCUUUGGAGCUGGCUCUACUCUUACCUUUCUUUGAAGCCUGGCAGUGAUGGAGGAUGUUGUAGAUCCUGAUUUUCUCCCCUGUGAGCCAGGUUUUGCUUGUAUGUGAUCAGCAGGGAUGUUAUCUGCUGCUGCAAGGCUGGGGACAGGAUUGCAGUCUUACUGGUUUUGAGUAUGCAAGGACUUAAAGAAAGCCUUGAAUGAACUGUGAUUAUUUCUUUCCUGAAAAAUGAAAACUCCAAAAUGGGAGUUUUAAAUAUAUAUAUACAUAUAAAAUAUAAUAUAUAUAUGAUAUAUAUAUCACAUGUAUAUAUCAUAUUAUGUAUGUAUAUAUCAUAUAUAUAUCAUAAAUAUGUAUAUAAUUAUUUUUUUAACACAUUUUUUAUUCUCUCAAAGGACAUUUGAU